AUGUGCUUUUAUUUUGUUCUUAUUUUUUUUAUUUUUUUUGUUCACGUCACAUGAGUGAUCACGGGAUGGUUUGGUCUGUCGAAACACGGGGAGCCGUCUGAGGAAUAAUGGCUAUUCGACAUUAUUAGGGUGCAGUUCCGGAGCAGUCCGGCUGUAGCAGCAGUCUCGUUGCCGCAAACAACGAUGGCUGACGCAUUGAAGGAGAGUCUCCGCUCUAAGAUUUACUGUGCGGCUCGCGAGGGUCUCCCGGUGACUCUGUUUGCCCUGCUGGCCAGUGUUCCGAAAUGCGACUACCGUGAUUAUCUAGGUGCUCUGAUGGUAGACAAGGAACAAAAAUGCACGCCGCUUCUCAUCGCUGCCCGCAACGGACAUCGGCAGGUGGUGCAGACAUUGCUAGAAAACUUCGGUUCCUCGGUCGGACUGGAACAGGAGGGCACCGUCCAAUUCGACGGAUACGUCAUCGAAGGCGCAACUCCUCUGUGGUGCGCGGCUGGUGCAGGGCACCUGGACAUAGUCCGCAUACUCGUCCUGCGCGGUGCCGACGUGAACCACCCGACGCGCACGGUAUCGACGCCGUUGCGAGCAGCCAGUUUCGAUGGGCGGCUGGACAUUGUUCGCUUCCUCGUGGAGCACGGUGCCGACAUCCACCUGGCCAAUAAGUACAACAAUACUUGUCUCAUGAUCGCCGCCUACAAGGGCCACUUGGACGUUGUGCGCUACUUACUGUCGCGAGGCGCCGACCCCAACGUGCAGGCGCUCUGCGGUGCGACAGCGCUACAGUUCGCUGCUGAGCACGGACACCUGGACAUAGUGCGCGAGCUUUUGGAUGCCAACGCCCGCGUGCUGGCUAACGGGAUCGGCAUGACGCCGUUGCUGGCCGCCGCAGAGCGCACGAAGGCCGAAGUGGUGGAGUAUCUCGUGAAGCAGCCGUGGUGCACGCGCCGUGAGAAGAUCGACGCACUCGAACUGCUAGGCGCGUCGUUCGCGAACGACAAGGACAACUACAGCCUGGAGCGAGCUUUCCGCUUCCUCGAGCUGGCGAUGCGGGAGCGCGAGCGCGAGCCCCGGCUGCCUAAGGAGCGCGGCCCAGUGGUGGCCGCGUACGACUCUCGCGUCGAGUGCGCUACGCUCGACGAACUGUACAGCAUCAGGGACGACGCGCACGCCCUGCACAUGGAGUCCCUGGUGAUCCGCGAGCGCAUCCUGGGACCGCACAACCCUGAGCUGCCGCACCCCGUUGUCUACAGGGGCGCAGUGUUUGCUGACAGUGCAGCGUUUGAUCGCUGCUUGCAACUAUGGCUGCAUGCUCUUCGGCUGCGAUCAGCUGCCAGGCUUCCUCUGCGCAAGGACCUACUGCGGUUUGCCCAAGUUUUCAGCCAGAUGCUGCAUGUCGGAGUCGAAGUGCCACCAGGAGCAGUCGCCCAGAUAUUGUCAGCGGCCAUUCACGAGCUGGAGUCUGGUUCAGAUGAGGACAAUGAUGCCAAUAUGCUGACUUCCCUGUACCUGUUGGUAGUGGUCGGCAAGCUCCAUUUCAUUUCGGCUAGUCAGGAGCACGAGCUGAUGAGGCUCAUCUACCGCCUUGUCCAGUUGGGCCGGGUGACUAGAGAUGGAUGCACGCUGUUGCACCUGUGUGUGAGCGCUGACACACCUGUGGACGAUUUCCACACCAAGAACAUCUGCCACUUCCCAUGCACUGACACCACUCGGCUGCUGCUUCGUUGUGGUGCCGAUCCGAAUGCAGUUGAUGCCAGGCGCAACACGCCCCUACAUGCCAUUGUCACCUACCAGAAGCCAAUCAGUGACUUUCUUACACUGCACUCUAUCAUUGUGGCCCUCAUCGAGGCAGGAGUGCAUGCAGAUGCAACUAACGCACGUGGAGAGACAGCAGCGGAAGCAGCUACAACGGGUGUUGCAGAGGUGAUCCUCCGUACUCAGACCCAAGUGACUCUGCGCUGCCUGGCCGCACGUGCUGUGGCCAAGUAUGGACUGAGUUAUCGGGCAGGCGAGAUCCCGCGGUCUCUAGUCCAGUUCGUGGAAAUGCACGGUGGUCGAACGAGGCCCCUUCCACGGCCUGGGGCUGACUGAGCACCACGGGGGGGCUACAUGGUUUGAAAGUUUUGAAAAAAGAAAGAAAUAUACACUAUGAGGUGAACAUAUACACUAUGAGGCAUGUUGUUUGUAAGACAGAACAUCUGCUACUGCUUACCUCAUAUUAAAUUUAGCACCACUUAUCACUUUCCAUUCUGUUCUGUCCUCGAUGAUCAUUUCACUUCACGACAAAGUGGUCCAGGUUUUUCAUGUAUACCCGGUGUUGAAUAGGGCUUGUUGAAGCAGCAGCUGUGUGGUGUAGCUGUGUUGCUAAAAGCUUAGUUAUGUGAAGUGACAACUUUUACCAAUGCAGCUAGCGGUGCAAAUAUGCAACAUCAAAAUGCUGGACUGUUACCUGGCGCGAAGAUUGGUUAAACCUAGCUUGGCUCACCAGAUAUUUAUCAAGACUGGUAUACUGCCACUAGCACAUUUGUGUGUUUCAAGUCAGCUAAAUCGCCUUCUAGAUCUGUUCUCGAGCUGCAAAGGUAUUUUAGUACUCCGAACUCCAAUAUAAGUAACAACACUGUGAUGCCUACAUAAUAGACAGCCCUUCAUAGGCUCUUGUUUAUUCUCAUAAUAUACAUGUUAUAUUUUCCUGCUAUUGUUAAGGGUAUCACCCACUCUUUGAAGUGAAACUUGGGUGGCUUAAAUGUCAUAGGCAUGAGGCAGGAAGGUGGUGCCUCUUUUCUGUGCAUAAUAUAAUAAUGUUAUUGUAAUUG
rnacentral:misc_RNA from 1 species